UACGAAGGGGGCUAGCGUUGCUCGGAAUUACUGGGCGUAAAGCGCACGUAGGCGGCUUAUUAAGUCAGGGGUGAAAUCCUGGAGCUCAACUCCAGAACUGCCUUUGAUACUGGCGAGCUUGAGUUCGGGAGAGGUGAGUGGAACUGCGAGUGUAGAGGUGAAAUUCGUAGAUAUUCGCAAGAACACCAGUGGCGAAGGCGGCUCACUGGCCCGAUACUGACGCUGAGGUGCGAAAGCGUGGGGAGCAAACAGGG
rnacentral:rRNA from 1 species